rnacentral:rRNA from 1 species
GAAUGAACAGGGAUCUGCUCAACCUUGUAAUUGGGGUCUUGGCCCUGAGUUGUAAUUUCAAGAUGUGUUGCCAACGAAGGCACAGAUGGAAGCCUCUUGGAAAAGAGCAUCAGCGAGGGUGAGAAUCCCGUUUGUCAUCUGUAGUCCUUUGUUUACGGCGCAUGUUCUACGAGUCACGCUCCUCGGAACUGGAGCGCAAAAUGGGUGGUAAAUUUCAUCUCAAGCUAAAUAUGGGUUCGAAACCGAUAGCAAACAAGUACCAUGAGGGAAAGAUGAAAAGGACUUUGAAAAGAGAGUUAAAAGUGUUUGAAAUUGCUGAGAGGAAAGCGGAUGGAACCAGUGUUGCUUGUGAGAUUGUUGCGUGCUCUGGUGAUGGUUUGCCGCAUCAGCGUAAGCGUUGCGGUGGGCUUUGAAUUGGAUGUGCGUGGUGUUGCUCACCUUGUGUGUCACCGCUGGUCUUGGAGUGAGGAUAACAACUGGGGGAUGUAAACCUGUCUGAGGGUGGG